rnacentral:rRNA from 1 species
CAAUAGCGUAUAUUAAAGUUGUUGCAGUUAAAAAGCUCGUAGUUGGAUUUCUGGUAGGAGUGACCGUUCCGAACUUGAUUGUUCGUGUAUUGUGUUUUCUCCAGCCAUCCUUGUGGAGAACUUUUCUUGCAUUAAUUUGUAGGGAUUGGGACCCGCAUCGUUUACUGUGAAAAAAUUAGAGUGUUUAAAGUAGGCAAUCGCUUGAAUACAUUAGCAUGGAAUAAUAAGAUAGGACUUUGGUACUAUUUUGUUGGUUUGCAUACCAAAUUAAUGAUCAACAGGAACAGUUUGAGGAUAUUCGUAUGAACAUGUCAGAGGUGAAAUUCUUGGAUUUUGAUCAGACGAACUACUGCGAAAGCAUUUAUCAAGGAUGUUUUCAUUAA